rnacentral:hammerhead_ribozyme from 1 species
GUACGGUUUACACUUCUUGAGUGUACUGAUGAGCCCAAAGGAAGGGCGAAACCGUAU